AAAAGAGUACCGGUCGUCUAAACCCUUUAGCCACCAAAUCAAAUGAACCAUGAUUUACUGGUCUGAAUACCACCAUUGUAUAAAAAGUAAAAAAAAAAAAAACAUUUAAGCAAAUCCAUAUUCAAAAAGAGAUAUCAUUAAAACCAUCAACCCCAAAGAAAAUAUUCUCACACCCAACAAAGCUUUUUUCUUUUUGAUUUUUACUCACCAACAAACUUUUUUUUGUACAAAAGACAACAAAAUAUUUGGUUUGGAACAACCCAAUAUAUAUAUACUACAGGGUCAUUUAUAUUAGAACAUCCAACAACAAAAUUAAUCACUCUUACUUACCAAUCCGGUUUAUCAUUUGGAUUAUUAGUUGAAUUCGAUAUUUUUCAUGUGCAUUAUAAAGCAGCUUCUACUAAAAAGUUAAAUUUUCCACCGAACACACAUCCUUGAUCCUUUCAAUUUAUUAAAAAAACAAAAAAAAAUAUACUACUACUUAACUAAUCAGCUUUA
rnacentral:lncRNA from 1 species